UACGUAGGGGGCGAGCGUUGUCCGGAAUUAUUGGGCGUAAAGAGCGUGUAGGCUGUUCGGUAAGUCUGCCGUGAAAACCUGAGGCUCAACCUCGGGCGUGCGGUGGAUACUGCCGGGCUAGAGGACGGUAGAGGCGAGUGGAAUUCCCGGUGUAGCGGUGAAAUGCGCAGAUAUCGGGAGGAACACCUAUGGCGAAGGCAGCUCGCUGGGACGAUACUGACGCUGAGGCGCGAAAGCCAGGGGAGCAAACGGG
rnacentral:rRNA from 1 species